CAACUGACUGAUUUUUUGUUUUGUUUUUGUAUUUUGAUGGAGGAUGCAGGAAAGGGGUUAUUUGGCGUUUUCCUAAGGAUUCUCCAUGUUAUCGCAGAUCCCACAAAACUACCAUGGCCCCCAAAGGAGACAUUGCAUACUCUAAUAUGAUAGAAAAAUGGUAAGACUUUUUCCUCUUUAAAAGUAAAGUUAGAAUAUAUACUUUAUGAUGAAAGCUUUU
rnacentral:lncRNA from 12 species